UACAGAGGGUGCGAGCGUUGUCCGGAAUCACUGGGCGUAAAGGGCGCGUAGGUGGCCCGACAAGUCCGUGGUGAAAGCUCGACGCUCAACGUCGAGUCGGCCAUGGAUACUGUUGGGCUGGAGCACUGUAGAGGCUCAUGGAAUUCCGGGUGUAGCGGUGGAAUGCGUAGAGAUCCGGAAGAACACCGGUGGCGAAGGCGGUGAGCUGGGCAGUUGCUGACACUGAGG
rnacentral:rRNA from 1 species